rnacentral:misc_RNA from 1 species
AACGCACAUUGCGCCCUUUGGUAUUCCUUAGGGCAUGCCUGUUCGAGCGUCAUUUAAACCUUCAAGCUCUGCUUGGUGUUGGGCAUGUCACGCCCCCCUCCGCGGGGGUGUGCGCCUCAAAUCUAUUGGCGGCCGGUACGUUGGCUUCGAGCGCAGCAGAAACGCGAACUCGAGGACUCCGGAUCGGCCCUCCACAAGCUAUUUUACCAUUUUGACCUCGGAUCAGGUAGGGAUACCCGCUGAACUUAA